GUACCUUCAAGCUCUGCUUGGUGUUGGGUGUUUGUCCCGCCUUUGUGCGCGGACUCGCCUUAAAGCAAUUGGCAGCCGGCGUAUUAGUUUCGGAGCGCAGCACAAAUCGCGCUCUGUGUCUUAUACGGUAGCAUCCAUCAAGACUAUUUUACAC
rnacentral:misc_RNA from 1 species